rnacentral:lncRNA from 1 species
UUAUCUCAGAUUUUGAGCCUUGCAGCAAUAGAUUGACAGUAGAAAAAGGAUUCGUUGUCCAAAAACUUUAUGAAAAAAGUGAUGAACCAGAGAGCAUGAAACAACUCUCUAUCUUCUCGUCUCUUCUUGGAAGUGUACUAGAAGCAGCUUCACCUCCACUUUAAUGGAGAUUGGGGGGCAGAUGAAAAUUCGCCCCCGAAAAGACAACGCACUGAUAAUAAGCCUUCACAUUAAUGAAGACGGCUCCCACGUACUGUAAAGUGACAA